UUCCGAAUGUUUAGUCGGAAUCUCUUUUCUUGCAACUUGAAGCCAUCGGUUCGAGUCCUACCCUCCAGAACAGGAGAAAACAAGCAUGUGACAGCCUUUUAGAUAUUUGAAGAUGUCUAUCAUAUCUCCUCUCAGUCUCCUCUUUUCCAGGCUAAACAUGCCCAACUCUUUCAA